ACAGAGGAAGGAACACCAGGACGGUACAACAGGAGAGGAGAGGACAGAAAAGAAAGAAGGAGAGAGAGACACAGAUAGGUAAGAUAGGGACUGGAGGAGAGGACAGCAGCCCAGGUGGGAAGGAAGGAAGGAAGAAAGGGGAGAGAGAGGUUGAUGACUGCUACAGGAAUGUUGGGGUCUGGUUGAGGGCCUGGUUGAGGGCCUGGUUGAGGGUCUGGUUGAGGGCCUGGUUGAGGGCUUGGUUGAGGGUCUGGUUGAGGGCCUGGUUGAGGGUCUGGUUGAGGGCCUGGUUGAGGGCCUGGUUGAGGGCCUGGUUGAGGUGUGUUGGCUGUGUCACUGUCAGUGGGUAUUUAGUUUGGAGUUAUGGCCACCAGGUGUGGCUGAGUUAUGUUCUGUUUGUGGAGAUCUGUUGGCUGUGAGGAACUGUCAGUGGGUAUUUAGUUUGUGGAGAUCUGUUGGCUGUGAGGAACUGUUGCUGGGUAUUUAGUUUGUGGAGAUCUGUUGGCUGUGAGGAACUGUUGCUGGGUAUUUAGUUUGUGGAGAUCUGUUGGCUGUGAGGAACUGUUGCUGGGUAUUUAGUUUGUGGAGAUCUGUUGGCUGUGAGGAACUGUUGCUGGGUAUUUAGUUUGUGGAGAUCUGUUGGCUGUGAGGAACUGUUGCUGGGCAGCUUUUCCAGUAAACCUUUUUUUUUGUUCAAUAGUUUGAAAGUACUUUUCUAGAAGUUCUGCGAAUUGAUAAAAGUGAAAGGCUCCUGAUUGUUCAAUAGAUGAUUCGGAGUAGUAGAUUAGUAGAAUUGACUAUAAUAUUACUGUUGUGACCAAGGAAUCUUUUAAUCUCUGUAAAAACCUAAGGUACUCAUAAUCAAAUAUCUUAGAGUCACAUGUUCUGUGCUCUCUCUCACCAUCAAAUCCCCCUGAUUUGCUGUACCAUGUGAGCUGAGAGUGGGGUGGGGGACAGGGGACAGGGGACAGGGAGACAGGCGGAGCAGCAGGUGUUGGAACAGUUGUUAGGUAAUGUCUAUCUGUGGUUUAUGACGUUGGGACAACGACACUCUGGACCACUAGCAGGAUGAGGAGCAGAAAGGAGAGGGGUAUUCUGUAGAGAGGAGCGGAGAGGGGAUGAGAAGGGGGUGCAAUCUAGAGGCCUGUUUGCUGAGGUGUCACACGGUUCCUGUCUUUGAUCAACAGUGUGGUGUCAGGAAAGUGAGGACCAUGUUAGCUGUUAGCUGUUGGUUUGCCUUUGUCUUGUUAGAUUCUUUAAGGUUCCUAGAAUGCUUUUAGGUUCUUAGAAUGCUUUUAGGUUCUUAGAAUGCUUUUAGGUUCCUAGAAUGCUUUUAGGUUCCCAAAAUUCAUUGCAGAGAAGGGAAAGAUGUAAUAAGGUAGAAUUUAAAAUGUUCAGUGGAGCCAGCUUUCUGGAUGGAGUUUAGUAGAGAGUGCAACAAGGAUAGACUGUCUGAAUGACCUAUAUCCACACUACGAUGGAGACAAGGAAGACUCUGGGAUGUGGAUGAGACCAUGAAUCGCAGUAAAGCCGUGGGCCGGAGGGAGGACAUCCUGUCGUUGCCUCCUGUGAAGACAUGCUUCCUUAUAUCCCCAUAUGAAUACUGCCGUUAUGGAAUGAACAAGAGGACGAUGUGGGACUCUGACAUCAUGGAUCCAAAAUAUCAUCUCCACUACCCUCCUGUCUGUCUGUCUCUCUUUCUUCCUCUCCUCGCCCCUGUCCUAUCUCCUUCCUCCUCUCUUUCUUUCUUUCUUCCUCUCCUCGCCCCU